rnacentral:rRNA from 1 species
UACGUAGGGUGCAAGCGUUACUCGGAAUUACUGGGCGUAAAGCGUGCGCAGGCGGUGAUGUAAGUCAGAUGUGAAAUCCCCGGGCUCAACCUGGGAACUGCAUUUGUGACUGCAUCGCUAGAGUACGGCAGAGGGGGAUGGAAUUCCGCGUGUAGCAGUGAAAUGCGUAGAUAUGCGGAGGAACACCGAUGGCGAAGGCAAUCCCCUGGGCCUGUACUGACGCUCAUGCACGAAAGCGUGGGGAGCAAACAGG